rnacentral:rRNA from 1 species
UACAGAGGUCUCAAGCGUUUGUUCGGAUUCAUUGGGCGUAAAGGGUGCGUAGGUGGCGGGGUAAGUCGGAUGAUGAAUCCCGGGGCUCAACCUCGGAACUGCAUUCGUAUACUGCUUUGCUUGAGUACUGGAGAGGAGAUUGGAAUUACGGUGUAGCAGUGAAAUGCGUAGAUAUCGUAAGGAAGACAGUGGCGAAGGCGGAUCUCUGGACAGUUACUGACACUGAGGC